CGGGGAACUCUGGGAGACCUGUGUAGAAAGCAUGCUUCAGGGUUAAACCGCCUCAUGGUUGAGCAAGCUGGGAUAUUUAUCUACUAACUCUCAUCAGUCAUUGGUUAAGGGUCUCUCCCAGGGAAAAGGGGGUUAAUUCCCCAGCACUUCCUGAGCAAACUUUCAGUAGCUAGAAAAAGCCCUCAGGCAAACAGACAUAUGUGCUGGCAGUUUUGAAGGCCUGGAUGUUAAGUGCCAAGAGAAUUUGGGCAGGGCACUGAUGGCAAAUGUUAUAUCUUCCCUGCACUCUCUCUUAGGAAACUACUGAAGAAUGUGCUCCACCAAAACAGUGUUGUGAGUCAAGAAAGAGGAAGAGGCGGAAUUCAGGAACCAGAGCACUCAACACAGAGUCAGAAGAAAAGCUAUGAGCAACUGGGAAAUCAAAACUGAAAUUCCUUUGAAAGAGCCAUUGAUGCCAAACUGACCUGAAAUCUGGGGCUACCCUAAGAGGGCUUUGGCCUAAAUAAAUGGUCCAGGAGUGUAAUUUCCAUGAGGACAGGAACCAUGUCAGUUUUGUUUAACACUGUAUCCUUAGCAUUCAACACAGACCUUGAAGCAGCAGACAACAAAUAUUGGUUGAAUAAAUGAGUGAACGAAGUGCCAGGCACUACAGUAAGUACUUCUUCCUGCCAGGCGCUAUGGCAAGUACUUUACAUAUAUCACCUCGUUUUUAUUCUUACCACAACCCUAUGCAUAGGUACUACUAUCAGAUGAGGAAAUGGAAGCUUACAGAGACAGACCAAUAUGCCCAAAAUCUCACAGAAAAAUGAAUGUAGCUAUCACGACGUGAAAAGAUGUAGAGGAACCUUAACUGCAGAUUAUUAAGUUAAAGAAGCUAAUCUAAAAAGCCUUCAUACUGUAUGAUUCCAACUAUGUGACAUUCUGGAAACAGCAGAACUAUAGAGACAGUAGAAAGGUCAAUAGUUGCUGGGGGUUGUCCUCGGGAGGGAUGAAGAGGCAGAGCACAGAGGAUUUUGAGGAACGAAAAUACUCUGUAUGAUAUAUAAUAGUGGAUACGUGUCAUACAUUUGUCCAAACCCAUAGAAUGCACGAUGCCAAGAGUGAAUCCUAAUUGACACUACGGACUUGGAUGGUGAUGAUGGGUUGAUGUAGGUUCAUCAGCUGUAAAAAAUGUACCACUCUGUGUGGGGAUGUUGAUAAUGGAGAGGGCCUUUGCAUGUGUGGGGACAGGGAGUAUAUGAGAAAUUUCUAUUCUUUCUGCUCAAUUUUGCUGUGAAUCUAAAACUGCUCCAAAAAAUAAAAUAUUUUAAAAAUGAGUGUCAGAGGUAGGAUAUGAAAACAUUUGUUUGACUCUAUGUAGGGCUUAAUUAUAAUAUUAUACUGCUUCCCAGUUGACAAAUCUAAUACUUUCACCGUCCAAAACUUCCCUCACACUUACUUCCUGUUGUCUGUUUCUAUGGUUUCUCUUGAGUCCUCCUUCCAGGAUCCAUUCCAAGCCAGACAAUGGUAUGUGGGUGAGAAACUGUGGUCAUGGAGGAGACUGGACAGACCGGAAAGCUUUUCUUUUCUAACACAUGUUUCUGAGGAGCCCUCAGGAAGCCUGUGAACCAGGAAAACCACGGUGAUGGUCAAUGCUCUGACAGCUCCCCUGCCCCUUUCUCCAUGCUCUUCUCCUGCCGUGCCUUCCCCAAGGCUGUGGGUUGCUCCCCACUGUGCUGCUCCCCUUGGGCCUUCUCUCCCUGCCCACAUAUGCAUGUGCCAGCCCUUUCCCCUCACAAAAAUGUCAACAUAGAAUGGUAAGUAGAAAAAAAAUAAGAUGCAAUAUCGUACAAAUAGUUGUUAUGGGUUGAAUUGUGUCCUCCCAAAAUUGAUAUGUUGGAGUCCUAACCCCCGUUACCUCGGAAGGUGACCUUAUUUGGAAAUAAGGUUGUUGUAGGUAUAAUCAAUCAAGUUAAGAUGAGGUCAUAAUGAAGUAGGAGGGAACUUAAUUCAAAAUGACUAUUAUCCUUAUUAAAAGAAUGCCAUGUGGAGAGACAGACAUGCACCAAGGAUACUGCCAUGUGGAGAGGAAGGCAGAGACUGGGGUGAUGCAGCAGAAGCUGAGAAACACCAAAGACUUCCAGAAAAACAGCAGAAGACAGGAGAGAGGCCUGGGACAUAUUCUUUCUCACAGUCCUCACUAAGAACCAAUUUGCCAACACCUUGAUCUCAGACUUCUAACCUCCAGAACCGUGAGACAGCAAAUUGCUGUUACUUAAGCCACUCAGUUGUGGUACCUUGUUAUGGAAGUGCUAGCAAGCUCAUAGAAAUAACAGAAUCCUGAUCUUGUAAAGCAAAAUAAACUCAUGUAUUACGGGUUAUCAUCUUGCAUACGCACAUACACAUAUACAUAGAUGAA
rnacentral:lncRNA from 1 species